AACGAACGCUGGCGGCGGGCUUAACACAUGCAAGUCGAACGCAUCCUUCGGGGUGAGUGGCAGACGGGUGAGUAACGCGUGGGAACGUGCCCUUCAGUUCGGGAUAACCCAGGGAAACUUGGGCUAAUACCGGAUACGUGCGAGAGCAGAAAGAUUUAUCGCUGAAGGAUCGGCCCGCGUCUGAUUAGCUAGUUGGUGGGGUAAUGGCCCACCAAGGCGACGAUCAGUAGCUGGUCUGAGAGGAUGAUCAGCCACAUUGGGACUGAGACACGGCCCAAACUCCUACGGGAGGCAGCAGUGGGGAAUAUUGGACAAUGGGCGCAAGCCUGAUCUAGCCAUGCCGCGUGAGUGAUGAAGGCCUUAGGGUUGUAAAGCUCUUUCGUCCGGGACGAUAAUGACGGUACCGGAAGAAGAAGCCCCGGCUAACUUCGUGCCAGCAGCCGCCGUAA
rnacentral:rRNA from 1 species